CAGCAGCCGCGGGAAUACGAAGGGGGCUAGCGUUGCUCGGAAUUACCGGGCGUAAAGGGCGCGUAGGCGGACAGUUCAGUCGGGGGUGAAAGCCCGGGGCUCAACCUCGGAAUUGCCUUCGAUACUGGCUGUCUUGAGUAUGAGAGAGGUGUGUGGAACUCCGAGUGUAGAGGUGAAAUUCGUAGAUAUUCGGAAGAACACCAGUGGCGAAGGCGACACACUGGCUCAUUACUGACGCUGAGACGCGAAAGCGUGGGGAGCAAACAGGAUUAGAUACCCCGGUAGUCCCUGUCUCUUAUAC
rnacentral:rRNA from 1 species